UACGAAGGGUGCUAGCGUUGUUCGGAAUUACUGGGCGUAAAGCGUGCGUAGGUGGCUUAUCAAGUCAGGGGUGAAAUCCCACAGCUCAACUGUGGAACUGCCUUUGAAACUGGUAAGCUAGAGUCUUGGAGGGGAUAGCGGAAUUCCUAAUGUAGAGGUGAAAUUCGUAGAUAUUAGGAGGAACACCGGUGGCGAAGGCGGCUAUCUGGACAAGCACUGACACUCUGGCACGAAAGCGCGGGGAUCAAACAGG
rnacentral:rRNA from 1 species